GACGAACCACACAACCGUUAUUCGGAAUUACUGGGCUUAAAGGGUGCGUAGGCGGCCUGGCAAGUUGGGUGUGAAAUACCUCGGCUUAACCGAGGAAUGGCGCUCAAAACUGCCGGGCUUGAGGGAGAUAGAGGUGAGCGGAACUUAAGGUGGAGCGGUGAAAUGCGUUGAUAUCUUAAGGAACACCCGUGGCGAAAGCGGCUCACUGGAUCUCUUCUGACGCUCAGGCACGAAAGCCAGGGGAGCAAACGGG
rnacentral:rRNA from 1 species